CUUAACUACCUGGGAAUGUAGCCCAUUAGGUCUCAGCCUUAUUUUACCCAGUCACUAUUCAAGAUGGAGUCACUCUAGUUUGAAUGCCUCUGACAGUAAUGAAGAAGUAAACUCCGAGACAGCACAUGACUUCCCUCUGAUGACGUAAGGUUGCUGGGAGGACCAGCUCACUGACAGAUUAAAGUUACCAAGUUGAAGUGAUGAGCUUGAAUCCUUCUGCAGUCACACGUUUGGCCUAGCAGAGGUUGAAAUUUUUAAAAAAUGAAAUAGAACCACAAAGAAAAUAUCAGAACACAUUGCACUUAGUAAAGAACAAGGGGGAGUCUCCCUGCACAAGCUCUCUCUCUUUGCCUGCUGUCAUCCACCUAAGAUGUAACUUGCUCCUCCUUGCCUUCCACCAUGAUUGUGAGGCUUCCCCAGCCACGUGGAACUGCUUCUUCUCUGGUUUCCUGUUCUGACCUCCUCUCAACCAUGAAUGCCUAUACUGUGUUGGUGGCCCUGAUGAAGAAAUGUGCUUCUUCAUUUAGACCCAGGAUGGCUGACGGUUUUCUGAUUGAUUCGUAGCAAAACCUGGAAAGCUAGAUUGAGCGAUUUAAAGCCCAGGCCAAGUGCAGCAGCUUGCUUGAGUCCUGGUGGAAAAGGCCUUGUAUGGAAGCCCCAGGGACAACUUCCACCACUGAGGAAUUUUCAGUCUUCUGCAUCUGUCAAUCAACUGAACCAUUUAUAGCUGGUGUCUUCUUUUCUCGUGCCCAUAAGCCCUGUCACUGUUGAGCUGGGCCCACCUUAAGACUGAUGUCCUUUGCAAUUUCUGGGACUACUGCAAGUGCUCCUAACUGUCCUCCCUGCCUCCAGCCUUCCAACCUGCAGCCACUCGAGUUGCCUUCCUACACGUCAGAGCCGACCAUGCCAUUCUCCUGCUUAAAAACCCAUCUCACUGGCU
rnacentral:lncRNA from 1 species